GAUGAACGCUGGCGGCGUGCCUAAUACAUGCAAGUCGAACGCUGAAGGAGGAGCUUGCUCUUCUGGAUGAGUUGCGAACGGGUGAGUAACGCGUAGGUAACCUGCCUGGUAGCGGGGGAUAACUAUUGGAAACGAUAGCUAAUACCGCAUGACAACAGUUAUUGCAUGAUAACUGUUUAAAAGGGGCAACUGCUCCACUACCAGAUGGACCUGCGUUGUAUUAGCUAGUUGGUGGGGUAACGGCUCACCAAGGCGACGAUACAUAGCCGACCUGAGAGGGUGAUCGGCCACACUGGGACUGAGACACGGCCCAGACUCCUACGGGAGGCAGCAGUAGGGAAUCUUCGGCAAUGGACGGAAGUCUGACCGAGCAACGCCGCGUGAGUGAAGAAGGUUUUCGGAUCGUAAAGCUCUGUUGUAAGAGAAGAACGAGUGUGAGAGUGGAAAGUUCACACUGUGACGGUAUCUUACCAGAAAGGGACGGCUAACUACGUG
rnacentral:rRNA from 1 species